CAUUACCAACCCAUCCUUUCGUUGCAGAUGGAAGGCCAUCCUUUUGUGCGAUAAAUGAAAAUAUUUUCAUCAUUCGUUUUGGUGAAGCUUUCGCUUAGUGGCAGAGUUGCCACAUUCACUGAUUUUCUUGGAAGGAUUUGCAUGAAUCUUCAGAUGGAAGGCCAUCCUUUGUACGUUAAAUGAAAAUAUUUUCAUCAUUUGUUUUGGUGUAGCUUUCGCUUAGUGGCAGAGUUGCCACAUUCACUGAUUUUCUUGGAAGGAUUUGCAUAAAUCUUCAGAUGGAAGGCCAUGCUUUUGUGCGUUAAAUGAAAAUAUUUUCAUCAUUCGUUUUGGUGUAGCUUUCGCUUAGUGGCAGGGUUGCCACAUUCACUGAUUUUCUUGGAAGGAAUGGCAAAAAUCUUCGG